UAGGGAAUCUUCCGCAAUGGACGCAAGUCUGACGGAGCAACGCUGCGUGAGUGAAGAAGGAUUUCGGUUCGUAAAACUCUGUUGUUAGAGAAGAACAGCGCAUAGAGUAACUGUUAUGCGUGUGACGGUAUCUAACCAGAAAGCCACGGCUAACUACGUGCCAGCAGCCGCGGUAAUACGUAGGUGGCAAGCGUUGUCCGGAUUUAUUUGGCGUAAAGCGAGCGCAGGCGGUCAAUUAAGACUGAUGUGAAAGCCCCCGGCUCAACCGGGGAGGGUCAUUGGAGACUGGUUGACUUGAGUGCAGAAGAGUAGAGUGGAAUUCAAUGUGUAGCGGUGAAAUGCGUAGAUAUAUGGAGAAACACGAGUGGCGAAGGCGACUCUCUGGUCUGUAACUGACGCUGGGGCUCGAAAGCGUGGGUAGCAAACAGG
rnacentral:rRNA from 1 species